rnacentral:rRNA from 1 species
UGGGGAAUAUUGCACAAUGGGCGCAAGCCUGAUGCAGCCAUGCCGCGUGUGUGAAGAAGGCCUUCGGGUUGUAAAGCACUUUCAGCGGGGAGGAAGGCGUUAAGGUUAAUAACCUUGGCGAUUGACGUUACCCGCAGAUGAAGCACCGGCUAACUCCGUGCCAGCAGCCGCGGUAAUACGGAGGGUGCAAGCGUUAAUCGGAAUUACUGGGCGUAAAGCGCACGCAGGCGGUCUGUCAAGUCGGAUGUGAAAUCCCCGGGCUCAACCUGGGAACUGCAUUCGAAACUGGCAGGUUAGAGACUUGUAGAGGGAGGUGGAAUUCCAGGUGUAGCGGUGAAAUGCGUAGAGAUCUGGAGGAAUACCGGUGGCGAAGGCGGCCCCCUGGACAAAGCCUGACGCUCAGGUGCGAAAGCGUGGGGAGCAAACAGG